rnacentral:rRNA from 1 species
GAGACCCUACGGGGGGCAGCAGUCGGGAAUAUUGCACAAUGGAGGAAACUCUGAUGCAGUGACACCGCGUAUAGGAAGAAGGUUUUCGGACUGUAAACUAUUUUAGACAGGGAAGAAAAAAGACAGUACCUGUAGAAUAAGCUCCGGCUAACUACGUGCCAGCAGCCGCGGUAAUACGUAGGGGGCAAGCGUUAUCCGGAUUUACUGGGUGUAAAGGGAGCGUAGACGGCAGCGCAAGUCUGGAGUGAAAUCCCAUGGCUUAACCAUGGAACUGCUUUGGAAACUGUGCAGCUAGAGUGCAGGAG